GACAGAGGGGGCAAGCGUUGCUCGGAAUUACUGGGCGUAAAGGGCGCGUAGGCGGUCUUGCAAGUCCCGUGUGAAAUCCCUCGGCUCAACUGAGGAACUGCACGGGAAACUGCUUGGCUUGAGUUCGGGAGAGGGAAGCGGAAUUCCGGGUGUAGCGGUGAAAUGCGUAGAUAUCCGGAGGAACACCGGUGGCGAAGGCGGCUUCCUGGACAGACACUGACGCUGAGGCGCGAAAGCUAGGGGAGCAAACGGG
rnacentral:rRNA from 1 species